rnacentral:rRNA from 1 species
UACAGAGGUCCCAAGCGUUGUUCGGAUUCACUGGGCGUAAAGGGUGCGUAGGUGGUCUCGCAAGUCUGAUGUGAAAUCUCCGGGCUUAACCCGGAAAUGGCAUUGGAAACUGCGGGGCUAGAGUGUUGGAGGGGGGACUGGAAUUCUCGGUGUAGCAGUGAAAUGCGUAGAUAUCGAGAGGAACCCCAGUGGCGAAGGCGAGUCCCUGGACACCUACUGACACUGAGGCACGAAAGCUAGGGGAGCAAACAGG